GACAGAGGGUGCAAACGUUGCUCGGAAUUACUGGGCGUAAAGCGCGUGUAGGUGGAUUGGUGUGUCAGAUGUGAAAGCCCUGGGCUCAACCCAGGAACUGCACCUGAAACUACCAGUCUUGAGUGGUGGAGAGGGAAGUGGAAUUCCUGGUGUAGAGGUGAAAUUCGUAGAUAUCAGGAGGAACACCAGUGCGAAGGCGGCUUCCUGGACACCAACUGACGCUGAGACGCGAAAGCGUGGGGAGCAAACAGG
rnacentral:rRNA from 1 species